UACAGAGGUCUCAAGCGUUGUUCGGAUUCAUUGGGCGUAAAGGGUGCGUAGGCGGCGCGGUAAGUCGGAUGUGAAAUCUCAGGGCUCAACCCUGAAACUGCAUUCGAUACUGCCUGGCUAGGGUACUGGAGAGGAGACUGGAAUUUACGGUGUAGCAGUGAAAUGCGUAGAUAUCGUAAGGAAGACCAGUGGCGAAGGCGAGUCUCUGGACAGUUACCGACGCUGAGGCACGAAGGUCAGGGGAGCAAACGGG
rnacentral:rRNA from 1 species